UACGUAGGGUGCGAGCGUUGUCCGGAAUUAUUGGGCGUAAAGAGCGUGUAGGCGGCCAAACAGGUCCACUGUGAAAACUCGAGGCUCAACCUCGAGAGGUCGGUGGAAACCGUCUGGCUAGAGUCCGGAAGAGGAGAGUGGAAUUCCUGGUGUAGCGGUGAAAUGCGCAGAUAUCAGGAAGAACACCAAUGGCGAAGGCAGUUCUCUGGGACGGUACUGACGCUGAGACGCGAAAGCGUGGGGAGCGAACAGG
rnacentral:rRNA from 1 species